AUCUGCAUCGUCGUUCGUUUGGUGCAGUUGGGUUCGCUCGCGCGUGUGCCUCUUGCCUACCACGACGUCGGCAUCAACGUGCAGAUCCCUAGAUCGUGUCGAUGCAAAGAAAAAGGACUCGUCGUCGUUCGACCUAGAUCACGACGAAAAUCGCCACUAGCCGCAACAACCAUGAGGGGAGAAAUCUCGGAUGAAGCAGCCAUCAUUGGAAGAGGAGAACAGGGGGACUUAACCGCCGGGAUAUCAUCUCAUCUGAUGUCGUUUUCAUCUGCUGUAUCACCUGGCAUGGAAGGACAGAGGUUGCAUCCACAUGCUGAUGACAACGAUCCAGACCAUGGGGAGAAGAUAACAUUGCAGAAGAUGGGCAUGGAAGUAGAUGAUGUAUGCGGUAAUGGUUCCCAUGUUCAUGGCAAUGACGAUGCACAACAGUGUGUAGUAUAUGAAGAAAUGGAAUCUACAGCAUCAGAGGUGGAUGGUAAAGUUGUGCACAAUUUGAUUGUUCCUAAAGUAGGAAUGGCUUUGGAGUCAGAGAAAGAUGCAUAUGAGAUGUACAAUACCUAUACCAGAAAUAUUGGGUUUAGUAUUAGAAGGAGUCGGACAAAGCAACGUGUUGAUGGGACUAUAUAUCAAAAAUAUAUUGUUUGCAGUAACCAAGGACAACGAGAAACUAAGUCAUCAUUGGACACUACUAGGAUAGGUUGCAAUGCUCAAGUUCAGUUUAGUGUCUGUCGAGAGGGAAUUUGGACGGUGCAAAUAAGUCACAUAAGUAUUUGAACAAAACCAUUAUCUCGCUAGUCCAAAUAAGUCACAUAAGUUGAGAUCCCAACGACAUGUUAUAGAAGCAGAUAGGAUUCUAAUUGGCCAAAUAAGAGAAGCCGGAAUGAAGCCAGCCUAGGUGUUCCAGUUUAUGAAGGAGUGGUAUGGAGGAGCUGACAAAGUGCCAUUCUCAAAGAUGGAUUGUAAUAAUGAGAUUGGUCGUGAGCGCAAAAAGUACUUAGAAUCCAAUCCCACGCAAACACUACUGGAAUACUUGAAGAAUAAGCAGUUACAGGACCCUGCAUUUUCUUAUGCCAUUCAAAUAGAUAAGGAAUAUGGUCGGAUAGCUAACUUCUUUUGGGCAGAUGGUCAAUCUAUCAUGGAUUAUACAUGCUUCGGUGACGUUGUGUCAUUUGACACCACAUUUAACACCAAUAAGUUUGAGAUGUAUUUUGCUCCAAUUCUUGGAACCAACCAUCACAAGCAGACAAUUAUUUUUGGGGCUGCACUGUUAUUUAAUCAAACUAUUGAUUCAUUUGUUUGACUCUUUAAAACCUUUCUAACAGCAAUGUCAGGCAAGUAUUCAAGCACAAUUUUCACUGACCAAGACACGGCUAUGGCAGCGGCAAUUACUUUUGUAUUCCCAAAUACAAGCCAUUGUCUUUGUUUGUGGCACAUUUAUCUAAAUGGUGGUAAAAAUCUCGGUCAUGUAAUUCAUAAUCAUCCUAAGUUUCUAACUAAUUUUAAGAGAUGUGUCUAUGAAGAUAGAUCGGAGUAUUACUUCAAUAAGAUGUGGCAUGACUUGCUGAGUGAAUACAAACUUGAGGAGAAUGCAUGGAUGUCAAACUUAUUUCACUUGACGAAAAAGUGGGCUAUCGUCUUCCGUGACUCUUUUACGGCUGAUAUGACCUCAACUCAAAGAAGCGAAGGUAUAUUGUGUAAGCAUGUCCUUAGAGUCUUCAAUAUGAAUGAAGUUUUCACUUUGCCAUCUCAAUAUAUACUCAAUAGAUGGACAAAAUAUGCGAAAAGAGGAUUUUAUAUUGAGAAAAAAGUAAGUGAGAAGGAUACUUUGAAAGCACAAGCUGCACGUAUCACUCGACAUGCAUCAUCCAUUGCGCUAAAGUGUACAGUUUCUAAAUAACUUCUUGAUGAUUUGGAGAAAACUAUUAAAAAGUUGGACUUGGAAGCAGAUAGUUUUCUAAGUAAGAUGCAAGGAAAGCCAUUUGACGUUCCUCUAAACUCAAAUGAUUGUGUCAUAGACACAUUAAAUGGUGCAAUAUCGUUUACAGUUCCUCAGGUGGUAAAAGGUCCAAAAACUAGGCGAUCAAAAGAUCCAAUUGAAAUUAAAGGGAAGAGGAAGAGUGCUAAGAAGAAAGAUCCAAAUAAUACAUCUGAAAAUAGAAAUGAAGAUGAUGGUGGUGUCUAUGGGCAAAACUUGACCAUGGCUGCAAAUGAUGUGCAUGGCCAAUCUUCAACCAUGGUUGCAAAUCAUAUGUACCGGCAAUCUUCAACCAUGCCAACUCCUUUGAUCCAAGGCGAAUAUACUAGUCUUUUAUAUGGAGUACAAAAUGAUUUCAUAUUUUCCUGCCCUGCUAAAAAGCUACAUUUUGAUGAAUAGCACUUGAUGCAACCUGUGAGUAGGCUUUAUUUAGAUGGACUUUGGUGUAUCCAUGAAACUAUACUCUUUUACUGUGUUGCACUUUAUUUUAUUUUCCUUGGCAAUGUUACACUCAAUUUCCAUUGCUGCUGAUAGUUGUGGCCAUGGAUUUGGUACCUAUAAUGACCUAGAUUAUAUUUGUUGUUUAGAUCAACCCAUCCUGGGCUACAGAUUUUAUUGCAGAUAACACUGUAGUUCAGAUUUAACAUUUGGAAGGAAUAAGA